UGGCCGUAAACGAUGUGGACUUGGUGUUGGAAUGGCUCCGAGCUGCUCCAGUGCCGAAGGGAAGCUGUUAAGUCCACCGCCUGGGAAGUACGGUCGCAAGACUGAAACUUAAAGGAAUUGGCGGGGGGAGCACCACAACGCGUGGAGCCUGCGGUUUAAUUGGGAUUCAACGCCGGACAUCUCACCAGGGGCGGCAGCAGAAUGAUGGCCAGGUUGAUGACCUUGCUUGACAAGCUGAGAGGAGGUGCAUGGCGUGUGACUGU
rnacentral:rRNA from 1 species